UACGGAGGGUGCAAGCGUUAUCCGGAUUUACUGGGUUUAAAGGGUGUGUAGGCGGGUCAUUAAGUCAGUGGUGAAAUCCCGGAGCUCAACUCCGGAACUGCCAAUGAUACUAUUGAUCUUGAAUCCUGUUGAGGUGGGCGGAAUACAUCAUGUAGCGGUGAAAUGCUUAGAGAUGAUGUAGAACACCGAUUGCGAAGGCAGCUCACUAAGCAGGUAUUGACGCUGAGGCACGAAAGCGUGGGGAUCAAACAGG
rnacentral:rRNA from 1 species